AUGUGGUUUAAUUCGAUGCAACGCGAAGAACCUUACCGGGGUUUGACAUUACACCCAGAUUGCGGAAACGCAAUGGGUACGGGUUCGCCCUAACAGUGGUAACAGGUGGUGCAUGGUUGUCGUCAGCUCGUGUCGUGAGAUGUUGGGUUAAGUCCCGCAACGAGCGCAACCCUUACCUUUAGUUGCCAGCGGGUAGAGCCGGGCACUCUAGAGGGACUGCCGGGGAUGACCCGGAGGAAGGUGGGAUGGCGUCAAAUCAUCAUGCCCCUUAUGUCCCGGGCUACACACGUGCUACAAUGGCCCGUACAGAGGGCAGCGAACCAGUGAUGGGGGAGCGAAUCCCACAAAACGGGUCUCAGUUCGGAUUGCAGGCUGCAACUCGCCUGCAUGAAGUCGGAAUCGCUAGUAAUCGCAGGUCAGCAUACUGCGGUGAAUACGUUCCCGGGCCUU
rnacentral:rRNA from 1 species